GUCUUCUAACUUCUCAUCCCCUCUAUUAGUCUCCCGCAAGACUCUACCUUCAUAGGAAAAUAUUUUUUUUCUGCGUUCUCCUGCAGGAUUUUAAGGACAAUUAUCUCCUUACCGAAGAGGGCAAGCCGUAUUCCGUGGAAGGGUCACCGGAGGAAGUCAACUUUUUCUUGUCCAUACCUUCGGAGGCAAUAUGCCACGCAAAUCACAAGGCAAAACUGGAUCCGAACGUAUUCAGUAUAGGGUUAUCUUGGUCAAAAAUGAACAACUGGAUUGAAAUUGCCGAAGGAUCUGUAACGAGGAAGGUUGAAGUAGUUGAGGACAAAGUUAAGGAUUUGCUAAACAAAAUCGAAGAUGGCUAGUCCAUUGAUGGGAAUGAUGCUGCAGAACUUUCGAACAGAAAGCUGAUAGUUAAGCAAUAAGGAAUGCUUCCUUGCUGGUUGUUUUUAUUUCUUGUAUCCCUGUAAAGAUUGAAGCCUCACAUAUGAGGAGAAAAUUUUUUGGUAGGCCCUCUCUAAUUAGUGGGUUCAGUGGGCACAUCUUCCAAUUUUUAUAGUUUCAUUGUGCUGGUUUUGGGCUUCGAUUGGAGCAAAGUGUAUUCAGAUGAGAGUUGAGACUAUUUUAUUAUGAAGUUUAGUUUUUUCAUAAAUUAUACUUAAGAAUUAGAGUUUGUUCAAUUCAUGGUGAUAUCGCCCUAACUGUAUUCCAUUUUUUCUAUUAACCAACAUAUUGAUACUGUUUCCCUCAUGCUUACUUUUUCUGAUGCUAUUUGGAAAGAAGAGCUAUGAAGUGAUUGACUCUACUGUAUCU